rnacentral:rRNA from 1 species
AUUAAACGCUGGCGGCAUGCCUUACACAUGCAAGUCGAACGGCAGCACGGGGGCAACCCUGGUGGGCGAGUGGCGGACGGGUGAGUAAAGCAUCGGAACGUAUCCUGGAGUGGGGGAUAACGUAGCGAAAGUUACGCUAAUACCGCAUAUUCUGUGAGCAGGAAAGCAGGGGAUCGCAAGACCUUGCGCUCUGGGAGCGGCCGAUGUCGGAUUAGCUAGUUGGUGGGGUAAAGGCCUACCAAGGCGACGAUCCGUAGCGGGUCUGAGAGGAUGAUCCGCCACACUGGGACUGAGACACGGCCCAGACUCCUACGGGAGGCAGCAGUGGGGAAUUUUGGACAAUGGGCGGAAGCCUGAUCCAGCCAUGCCGCGUGAGUGAAGAAGGCC